rnacentral:rRNA from 1 species
UACGUAGGAUCCAAGCGUUGUCCGGAUUUACUGGGCGUAAAGCGUGCGCAGGCGGCUUCUCAAGUCAGGGGUGAAAGCCCAGAGCUCAACUCUGGAAUUGCCUUUGAGACUGAGUGGCUUGAGUACGAGAGAGGUGAGUGGAAUUCCCAGUGUAGAGGUGAAAUUCGUAGAUAUUGGGAAGAACACCGGUGGCGAAGGCGGCUCACUGGCUCGUAACUGACGCUCAUGCACGACAGCGUGGGGAUCAAACAGG